UACGAAGGGGGCUAGCGUUGCUCGGAAUUACUGGGCGUAAAGGGCGCGUAGGCGGAUAUUUAAGUCGGGGGUGAAAGCCCAGGGCUCAACCCUGGAACUGCCUUCGAUACUGGAUAUCUAGAGUAUGGGAGAGGUGUCUGGAACUCCGAGUGUAGAGGUGAAAUUCGUAGAUAUUCGGAAGAACACCAGUGGCGAAGGCGACACACUGGCCCAUUACUGACGCUGAGGCUCGAAAGCGUGGGGAGCAAACAGG
rnacentral:rRNA from 1 species